UCAAUCAACCCACACAGGUCAAAUGGAGAAGAUACUACUGAACAUUUGAAUUUCUGCAGAUGUGCAUCCAGAUGAAAAAGUCUACGCAGCAGAUACAGCUUCAGCUCUUGAUUCAGGCUAUCAGAACUCGUAGCCUUCCUGUUUGCACUCAUGGGAGCGGAUGAGGAGCUGGAGGUUGUGUCUUCCCAGCACUUCCUCAGUGAUAUCUGGCCCCCAGUAGCAGCCUCCACCUCGCACCUCGUUGGGGAUGCAGCCAUUUUGGGGCAUUGGGUCGCUCCACAACACGUCCACUAUCUGGGCUCUGGGUCUGAGUCAGAGUCGGACUUUGUCAACUCCACAUAGGACUGGUCGAAUCCAGCAAGCCUGCGCCUCCUUUUCAGCUCUUCCUCCACUGACCAGUUGAGCUGACUGCUCACAGACUGGUUGUGGAGCGAGCGGCGUGGGAGGUCAUGCCUGUAAGCCGAUGCUGAGCUCUUGUAAGUCAGAGACCACACUCGACGUCGGCCUUCAACUGGUUCACUGGUCUCUCCGAUUCUGUUGUUCAUUGUUUGAGUCUUGCUGCCAUUGACUGCUUGAUGCGUUAGCUUGGGAGGUCUGAGAGCUGACACAUACUGCACAUGUUCAAAAAUGCACAGAUUAAAUGCACUUAAUAUCAUCAUCUCGAUAGUAUGUAUGGUUUUGGUGCCUGUGAAAUGCACCGAAUACAUUUGUUGUUGAUGCUGAAGGCCUCUCUUACUUUGUGUCUGUCCACUCUGGCUAUCAUGUCAAGGUCUGUUGUGUCAGAGAUCCCACCGUGCACAAUCAGCACCUUGUGAUCAAUCACUGUGGCCAGGGGCAGCCAGCUGAAAAUCUUCUGGAGAAGCUUCAGGAUCUUCUUGCCAUGCACCUGCAGACCCAUCCAAGCUUAUGACUGGAAGAUGUUCCAUGUGCACCUUCGUCUCAUUUCCAGCCGGGCAACAUACUGACGGUACCAGCGCUGGAUCAACAGAGCUGCUCUGAUUGCUGAAAAUUGGGAGCGAAAACAAAGUACGUGGUCAUAAUCAUGUUCUCUACCACUGUCAACAUACUUUUGACUAUGUCAGAUGUAGAUUCAUGGACUUACCAGUGGCAGCUUUACAGAGUGCAUAGAAAUAGAGUGGAGAUGGCAAAAGUUAUCAAAAUCUGCCAAUUGAGACUUAUUUGCUGUUAUGAACACAAGCUGAAAAGACGUAAUGGAAUAAAACAUUCAUUUACCUGGAACUGAGAUGCUCACUAAGAAUGACAAAUCACAAAGACACUGAAGUUAAAUGAGUGCAAUAAGAAAGAACAUUUCUUUGAAAACUUGACUCUUCACUAGAAUGAUUCUGGUGAGGGGCACACCUUUGUCACAUUUCCUUCGCUGUACUUCUGAUUUUCCCAUGCCGCAUCCCAUGGCCUUUUGCUGCUUUCACUGUCAAAGACAAAAAUACUUUCAUGUGAGAAUGUGAGUUAUCUGACCUUGAACUUGUGUUUGCAACCUUUGAAUAAUAACAUAAUAGUUUAACAAAUUUUUAGAUUAUUCAAUUUUACUACACAUUUCUAUAUUAGAAAAAUUAUUGACAUUUUUUGGUCACAAACAUAACAUCAAAAGAUUUGAACAAUUUAGAGGAAUAAUUUGGCUUACUUAUAAUUACUAGAUGUUUUGCGAAAAUGUGGAUAAAAUAAGCAUUUGAGUAGUUCAUUUCAUGUCUAAAGGGUCUACUGAAAGUAAAUUUGAAAAUAUUGUACAACAGAAAACCGCCAGAUUUGUCCAAAGCAAACCUUACCUGACCA